GAGUUUGAUCCUGGCUCAGAACGAACGCUGGCGGCGUGCUUAACACAUGCAAGUCGAACGUGAUCCGGAGCUUGCUCCGGUGAAAGUGGCGCACGGGUGAGUAACGCGUGGAUAAUCUGCCCUGGUAUCUGGGAUAACAUCUCGAAAGGGGUGCUAAUACCGGAUAAGCCCACGAUGGCCUUGGUCGUUGCGGGAAAAGGGGGGGACCUUCGGGCCUUCUGUCAUCAGAUGAGUCUGCGUACCAUCAGCUAGUUGGUGGGGUAACGGCCCACCAAGGCGACGAUCGGUAGCUGGUCUGAGAGGAUGAUCAGCCACACUGGUACUGAGACACGGACCAGACUCCUACGGGAGGCAGCAGUGGGGAAUAUUGCGCAAUGGGCGAAAGCCUGACGCAGCAACGCCGCGUGGGUGAUGAAGGCCUUCGGGUCGUAAAACCCUGUUAGGUGGGAAGAAACCGGCUCAGCCGCUGACGGUACCACCAGAGGAAGCACCGGCUAACUCCGUGCCAGCAGCCGCGGUAAUAC
rnacentral:rRNA from 1 species